rnacentral:lncRNA from 10 species
GGCAGUCCAGAGCUGAAACCAACCCAUUUCCAUGCACUGCUUAGUACAGAAUGCCAAGUAAAGGCUUCCGUUAUUUCUUUGAAACGGUGCUGCCAAGUAAUUGUCAUAGAACAUUUAUGGGUCUGUCCUUCCGCCCCUCCCUUCCUGCUUUCCCCUGGAAUAGCAAGCAGAGCUGGUUGUAAAGUUAACCAUGGAAAGAAUAAAAUCAAAUGGAAAAAUGUAGCAACACGGCUGUCUACAAAACAGAAAAGAAAUCUUAAAGGUAUUUUAAGAGUAACCAAGAAGUCAACCAGAGAAAUUUUAGCACUGGGACAACAGGCCCCAUGGAGGGGUGAGGAGAGAGUGAGGGACUGAAAAUUGCAGGAUUAUAAAUCUGCAUACUUAACAGUAAGGUAUCACUCUCCUGCUCAGAUCCCAGAAUUUCCACAAUCAGGUUGACUAUACUCCCAUGGGAGGUUAGAAGAUUCUUCUCUGGAAAAACUCAAUAGACUUAGCGAAAAACAUCUUCAAAUGUUGACAUCAGGGGAUUAUCCAGUAAAGGACUGUCAACUUCCUGAUCCCCGCUAGGAGCCUACCAAUCAACAAGGCUCAUCCAGGGACAUGGAGCUUCCAACCGGAGAAUGGACUUUUUCAAUAUAAUUGGCAAUGAAAGAUUACCUGGUAUUUGGGGAAAGCUUCUAACAUGCAAAACAGAGAUACAAGCAAAUAACAAAAAGGAACUUGGAGGCCAGAAACAGUGCUGGAAAUAGAAAACUUCUCCAUAAACAAAAAACAGUGGUAAGAGAAGAUAUUGCAACUAUGAGAUAAGAGCAAUCACAAAACAAAGAACCCUGGAAAAUUAUAAAACUGAAAGCCAAACCAAAGAAGAAAAUGUCAAGUAAGUGUCCAAGAAAGUUCACCAAAAAGCAAAUCAGAGAAAACAAUGUUAAAACUAUUAAUAUUUUUAUUUUUGAGACAGGGUCUCACCCUGUCACCUAAGCUGGAC